rnacentral:lncRNA from 1 species
GAGAGUCGUUCGGGCUUGAUCCACCUAAAAACAACCGAUUGGGGCUAAGCCAAUCAUGACUACGAAGAGAGGAAAGAAGACUCAUGGAAGGAGUCUUCUUCUUCCUCAUCUCCGAUUCCUUGGGGUUGAAAUUGAAGUCCUAGAGCCAUUGGGACCCUAGGGCUCCUUUAUAAAGCCAUUUCACCGCUCUCUAAAGUGGUCCA